GUAAUAAACAGUCUGAGUAGUCUUCUCGUUUAUUAGAAGGGAAGUGACAUUUGGACAAAUGAAGGAGCACAGGUGUUAUUUAGCAGGAGAGCCAACAGCAUGUGGAUCUUUAUACCAUGAAGCCAGACCAGUUGGGACAGAUACUGACAGCUGACGGCCGAAGGCCGAAAUCACAGAUGCUUUGGAUUUUCCGGAAGGAAGGCUAUAAUAUGGGACAGAUGUUUUCAAAGCGGUGCUGAAGUUGUCUGUUUUCUGCGGCACAGGUGAACCUCGUAACAAAUAAAAAAGCUGAGGCAGGGAUUACAAGAAUAUUAUGGCUACUGUUGGAGGACAGACCAGAUGUAGUACCAGUGUUUUUUCCACGUCAAUCAAUGGCUGAAUGCACUGCUCAGAUUCUAGACAUCAUCUGGCCGGUAGAAGGGGAAAAGGAUGAUGAUGAUGAAUGCCCUGUUGCAAACCAAUGCAGAAUUGCUGGCUACCUAUGGCAGUUUGUGGAGACAG